UGAUUCAAUUUAAUUUGAGUGAAAGUAAUUAUUAAAUUUUAUUAAUUAAAAUAUUUUUUUGUUUAAUUAAAUUUUUUGAAAUAAUUUUUGUUGUUAUAGUUUAAUAGUAUUGUGAAAGAAUUUUCUUUAUGUAUAAUUAAGAAUAAUUAAUUUUUAGUACCUUGUGUAUCAGGGUUUAUUAAUUAUAAUUUAAUAAUUUAAAUUUCUCGAAUUGAUAAGAGUUAAUUAUUAAUAUAUUUUAUUGUAAAAUAAAUAUUUAAAAUUAAUAGUUAGUAAUGAAAUGUUAUUCGUUUAUUAAUAUAUCUAGUUUUUUAAGAAAAAAAUUUAAUUUUAUUUAUAAAAAAAAGGUUAUAAUUAUUAAUUUAUUUAUAAAUUAUAUAAUAAGGGAUUAGCUUUAUUGUAUAUUAUUAAAAAUAAUUUAUAUUAUUAAAAAAUAAUAGGAUUAGUAAUAUUCAUUUUUAGUUUGUUAUAAUUAAUUUUUUUUAUAAAAAUAAUUUAAAUUUAUUUUAAAUUUUUUAUUAAAAUAUUGAAUUUAAUUUUUAAGUUUAAGUAAUAAUGAUAAAAUUAGUAUAAUUUAAUGUUUUUCUAUAAGAUAGAUUUAAUGUUAAAAUAAGGAAUUCGGCAAAAAAAUUUUUCGCCUGUUUAAUAAAAACAUGUCUUUUUGUGUAAAAUUUAAAGUCUGACCUGCCCUAUGAAAAAUUUUUAAAUGGCCGCAGUAUUUUGACUGUGCAAAGGUAGCAUAAUCAUUAGUUUUUUAAUUGAAAGCUGGAAUGAAGGGUUUGACGAAAAAAUAACUGUCUCUUUUUAAAUUUUUUAUAAUUUUAUUUUUAAGUUAAAAAGCUUAAAUUUAUUUAAAAGACGAGAAGACCCUUUAGAGUUUUAUAAAAAAUUUUAUUAAUAAUUUAAAUUGAAUUUAAAAGAUUUUAUUUGAUUUUUUAUUUUAUUGGGGUGAUAAAAAAAUUUAAUUAACUUUUUUUUAAUUUUAACAUUAAUUAAUGGUUUAUUGAUCCAAUUAUUUUGAUUAUAAGAUUAAAUUACCUAAGGGAUAACAGCGUAAUUUUUUUGGAGAGUUCUAAUCGAUAAAGAAGUUUGCGACCUCGAUGUUGGAUUAAAAUUAAUUUUUGGUGUAGAAGCUAAAAUAUUAGGUCUGUUCGACCUUUAAAAUUUUACAUGAUCUGAGUUUAAACCGGUGUAAGCCAGGUUGGUUUCUAUCUUUAAAAGAUUAAGGUAUUUUAGUACGAAAGGACCAAAUAUUUAUAAAAUUUAUUAUUUUAUGAAAUUAAUUAAUAUUAUUUUGGC
rnacentral:rRNA from 1 species